AAAGAAAAAGAAAAGAAAAAACACAGAAUGAAUGGUGACAAAGACCAAAGCAAUUUAAGUCGUCGACCAACCAAGGUCCAAAAUGAGAGCAGAUUCAGAUCUAGAUCUAGAGAACUGAUCACUCACUCACAAAUUUGUUAGCACUCCUUCAAUUCCAUUGGCGCAUCACUAUAUCCUGCUUCAUUUCUACCUUUCCCGGUUUCUUUUGUGGAUGGAGUCACCAAUCACCUCCCUGAUUUAUUGGCAUUUCUAAAGGAUCACAAAAAUGGAACUAGAAGCCGCUGCCGCCUCCAUUAAUGUUGCAAUUGAAAACGUGAUCAACUUCGGGACAAAGAUUCAACCAAGCAGUGGUAUUUACAAGAAUGUGGAAACGCUGAUGAGGAGUCUGAAAAUGUCCAACUGUCCUUG